rnacentral:rRNA from 1 species
UGAGUAACCUGCCCUUAACUCUGGGAUAAGCCUGGGAAACUGGGUCUAAUACCGGAUAUGACUCCUCAUCGCAUGGUGGGGGGUGGAAAGCUCUAUUGUGGUUUUGGAUGGACUCGCGGCCUAUCAGCUUGUUGGUGAGGUAAUGGCUCACCAAGGCGACGACGGGUAGCCGGCCUGAGAGGGUGACCGGCCACACUGGGACUGAGACNGUACCGGCCCGACGACCGUACCGUACGGGA